GACGAACGCUGGCGGCGUGCUUAACACAUGCAAGUCGAGCGAUGAAGCUCCUUCGGGAGUGGAUUAGCGGCGGACGGGUGAGUAACACGUGGGUAACCUGCCUCAUAGAGGGGAAUAGCCUUUCGAAAGGAAGAUUAAUACCGCAUAAGAUUGUAGUACCGCAUGGUACAGCAAUUAAAGGAGUAAUCCGCUAUGAGAUGGACCCGCGUCGCAUUAGCUAGUUGGUGAGGUAACGGCUCACCAAGGCGACGAUGCGUAGCCGACCUGAGAGGGUGAUCGGACACAUUGGGACUGAGACACGGCCCAGACUCCUACGGGAGGCAGCAGUGGGGAAUAUUGCACAAUGGGGGAAGCCCUGAUGCAGCAACGCCGCGUGAGUGAUGACGGUCUUCGGAUUGUAAAGCUCUGUCUUUAGGGACGAUAAUGACGGUACCUAAGGAGGAAGCCACGGCUAACUACGUGCCAGCAGCCGCAGUAA
rnacentral:rRNA from 1 species